AGUGAACGCUGGCGGUAGGCCUAACACAUGCAAGUCGAACGGCAGCACAGUAAGAGCUUGCUCUUACGGGUGGCGAGUGGCGGACGGGUGAGGAAUACAUCGGAAUCUACUUUUUCGUGGGGGAUAACGUAGGGAAACUUACGCUAAUACCGCAUACGACCUACGGGUGAAAGCAGGGGAUCUUCGGACCUUGCGCGAUUGAACGAGCCGAUGUCGGAUUAGCUAGUUGGCGGGGUAAAGGCCCACCAAGGCGACGAUACGUAGCUGGUCUGAGAGGAUGAUCAGCCACACUGGAACUGAGACACGGUCCAGACUCCUACGGGAGGCAGCAGUGGGGAAUAUUGGACAAUGGGCGGAAGCCUUAUCCAGCCAUACCGCGUGGGUGAAGAAGGCCUUCGGGUUGUAAAGCCCUUUUGUUGGGAAAGAAAAGCAGCAGGUUAAUACCCCGCUGUUCUGACGGUACCCAAAGAAUAAGCACCGGCUAACUUCGUG
rnacentral:rRNA from 1 species